GUAGUCGUAGUGAACCUGCGGAGGAUCAUUAAAUGAAGCAACCUAGGAGCCUGAGAUAUGGCCACCGGGCACACCUUCCACCCUUUGUUUAUCACACUUUGUUGCUUUGGCAGGCCUGCCUCCGGGCUACCGGCUCCGGCCGGCGAGUGCCUGCCAGAGGACCCAAACUCUGUUUGUCUGUAACGUCUGAGUACUAUAUAAUAGUUAAAACUUUCAACAACGGAUCUCUUGGUUCUGGCAUCGAUGAAGAACGCAGCGAAAUGCGAUAAGUAAUGUGAAUUGCAGAAUUCAGUGAAUCAUCGAAUCUUUGAACGCACAUUGCGCCCCCUGGUAUUCCGGGGGGCAUGCCUGUCCGAGCGUCAUUACAACCCUCAAGCCUAGCUUGGUGUUGGGCUCCGCCGCCUGGCGGGCCCUAAAGUCAGUGGCGGUGCCGUCCGGCUCCGAGCGUAGUAAUUCUUCUCGCUCUGGAGGCCUGGGCGCGUGCUUGCCAGCAACCCCCCAAUUUUAUCAGGUUGACCUCGGAUCAGGUAGGGAUACCCGCUGAACUUAAGC
rnacentral:rRNA from 1 species